AUUGAACGCUAGCGGGAUGCCUUACACAUGCAAGUCGAACGGAGUGGCGAACGGGUGAGUAAUGUAUCGGAACGUGCCCAGUAGCGGGGGAUAACUACGCGAAAGCGUAGCUAAUACCGCAUACCAUUGGAGCGGCCGAUAUCGGAUUAGCGAGUUGUUGGGGUAACGGCUCACCUAGGCGACGAUCCGUAGCUGGUUUGCGAGGACGACCAGCCACACUGCGACUGACACACGGGCCAGACUCCUGCGUGAGGCAGCAGUGGGGAAUGUUGGACAAUGGGGGAAACCCUGAUCCAGCCAUCCGGCGUGUGGGAUGAAGGCCUGCGGGUUGUAAAGCACUUUUGGCAGGGACGCGGUACCUGCGGAAUAAGCAACGGCUAACUACGUGCCAGCAGCCGCGGUAAUUC
rnacentral:rRNA from 1 species